rnacentral:rRNA from 1 species
AUGUUUAAAGCUUUUGAUGAUUUUGAUGAUUCAGUUUCUAGACCUGAAAAUUUAGCUAUACUUAGAUAUUGCUAUGAAAAUUAUGAAUACAAUUACUAUAUUAAUGCUUUUAUGAAGAAAUUCUCCGCUGUCCAAGAAGAGACUAAUAUUUUGCAGGAAGCUAUGGAAGAAGAAAUUGAUGAAACUGUGAACUCAUUGGAUGAAAAAGAUGAUGAGGAGAGCGAAGAACAAAAGGAGGAAGAGCGGAUUAGCUACCCGUGCCCACCUUCCAAUGAGAGUAACCCUCCAACUCAUACAUUACUUAAUUCCCCUUCGUGCUUACCGAAGGAUGAUUGUUAUGAUGAUUGCUAUGAUCCCUUGAAUUUGUUUGAAAUACCCCUUUUUGAUGAUGCUUGCUAUGCUUGUGGCCAAGAUGCUAAUAUGAAUUAUGCUUAUGGAGAUGAACUUGCUAUAUUUCCUUAUGUUAAACAUGAAAUUGUUGCUAUUGCACCCACGCACGAUAGUCCUAUUAUCUUUUUGAAUUCUCCCAACUACACUAUAUCGGAGAAGUUUGUGCUUAUUAAGGAUUAUAUUGAUGGGUUGCCUUUUACUGUUGCACAUGAUGAUUUUGAUGAAUAUAAUAUGCAUGUGCUUGCUGCUCCUACUUGCAAUUAUUAUGAGAGAGGAACUACAUCUCCGCCUCUUUAUGUUUCCAACACGAUAGAAUUGCAAGAAACUGCUUAUUCUAUGCAUUGGCCUUUACUUGGUGUGCAUGAAUUGUUCUUUUAUGACAUGCCGAUGCAUAGGAAGAGAGUUAGACUUCGUUGUUGCAUGAUGUAUGUUACUUUGUGCUCACUACUAAAUUACAAAUCAUUGUUAAUUAAAAUUGGCUUUGAUAUACCUUGGGAUCCGGGUGGAUCAUUUACUUGA